GUGGAUGUAGUUCAGUGGUUAGAGCGCCAGGUUGUGGCCCUGGAAAUCGUGGGUUCGAGUCCCACCAUCCACCCCA
rnacentral:tRNA from 1 species